rnacentral:rRNA from 1 species
AUCAACGCUGGCGGCGUGCCUCAGACAUGCAAGUCGAACGAUUAAAGCUCUCUUCGGAGAGUGCAUAAAGUGGCGCACGGGUGAGUAACACGUAAGUAAUCUACCUUCGAGUGGGGAAUAACGUCCGGAAACGGACGCUAAUACCGCAUAAUGCAGCGGCAUCGCAAGAUGACAGUUGUUAAAGGAGUAAUUCGCUUGAAGAGGAGCUUGCGGCAGAUUAGCUUGUUGGUAAGGUAACGGCUUACCAAGGCUACGAUCUGUAACCGGUCUAAGAGGACGGUCGGUCACACUGACACUGAAUAACGGGUCAGACUCCUACGGGAGGCAGCAGUCGGGAAUUUUGGGCAAUGGGGGAAACCCUGACCCAGCAACGCCGCGUGAAGGAUGAAGUAUUUCGGUAUGUAAACUUCGAAAGAAUAGGAAGAAUAAAUGACGGUACUAUUUAUAAGGUCCGGCUAACUACGU